rnacentral:sRNA from 1 species
UCCUCUAGGGAGUGAGCUGUGGUUUGUGGGCUCCCCUGUUCUUGAAGAAUGCUGACGCUGGUACCCAUGGGGCUCCUGGUGCUGGUCCUGCUCUGGGCACAGGCCGGAAGUCGCUUUCUAAGUGGCAUGGAGAGAGCAGCCACCCUGAUCUGCAGGAGUCAGGUUCCUUCCAAAAUGCCCUCUGACGCUUUGCUGCACUUUGCUGGGGAGAGCUGAGCUAAACUUACAGAAACUGCAGACGCACAGGCUGGACAGGAGGCGUCAUCCUGCAUGGCAGCCUGCGAAGCUUCAAGACUUCGGUGACGUCUGUCCUGGGGUCCCAGGUGGAAGUUCUGAAGGAGGCCGAGAAUCUGAGGUGUGUUUGUGCACCACAAGUGUGCAGUUCCUGUGGAGACUCGAAGAGAGCAUCAGCUCUCCUCAGACUGCAAUGACAGAUGUUUAUGAACCGCCAGUGGUUGCUGAGAGCUGAACCUGGGUCCUCUGGAAGAGCAGCAAGUGCUUUUAACCGCUGGGUCAUCUCCGCAGACCCAAGAACAUUAUUUUUACUUUCAGUUGUUUUUGCUGUUGUUUUGAAUUUUAGAGAUAAUGUCUCAUGCAGCCCAGGCUAACCCUGAACUAACCGUGUAACAGGAGAUGGCCGUGAGCUCCUGAUUCUCCUGAGGGCUAGGAUCACAGCCACGAACACCAUGCUUGGCUCUGGUUUUCAGGAUAGGUCUAACUUGUUAUAGUCUCAGUUGGCCCCAAACUCUCAAUCUCUGUGAGUCCUCUAUCAUCUUAUUUUUCUUUUUUCUUGAGCUAGGACUUGAACCCAGGGCCUCCUGAGUGCCAGGCAAGUACUCUACUAUUGAGCUACAUGCCUACCCUUCUAGAAUUAGUCUUUUUUUGAAAAACAGCUUAUCUAAGGCUCUGGACAGAGUGCUUACGAGGUACAAGGCUGGCCAUGAAAGCAGAAGACAGAGAGUUCAGAUCCCCAGAAACUUCACAGAAAGCUGGGCUGGAGCGAUGGCUCGGUGAUUACUGGCAUGUGCUGUUCUUGCAGAGGAUCUGAAUUUGGAUCCCAGCAGCCAUGUUGACUGGCAUACGGUCACCUGUAACUCUAGGUCCAGGGCACCUGAUACAUUCUUCUGUCAGAGAGCGAUGCAUACACAUGCACGGACCCACACAGAGAACACACAAACACAUGUUAUUAAACAUAAAACUACAUUUUACACAAGCUGGGUGACCAUGGUGGGCCAUCUGUGAUCUCAAUGCAAAGGAGGCAGAGCCCAGAAGAGUAAACUGUCUGGCUAGACUAGCAAAUCAGCAAACUUUGAGUUCUACCGAGAGCCCCUGUGUCAGUAUACGUUAGAGAGCAAUCAAGAGAAACACCCAGAUCUUGAACCUCCACAUGACCUCACAUAAAUGUAUAGCAACAUGCAUGGGUGCCCACAUACAUGUGAACACACAUACAAACACACACACACAUGCACACACGCACGCACACACAUGCACACACACAUGACACCUUUACUGCCGUGUUUUUCCCAUGCUUCACUGUGUGAGGUUGCAUCUGAGCUGGGUGGAUCGCACCAGCACUGAAGAGGCUGAGGCCAGAAGCUGGAGGGUUGAUGGGAAUUCAGGACAGCAAAAACCAAAGAACCAAAAGACCAAAGCAACCCAGAGCUCCAAGGGUCUGAUCCGACAUUGAUUCUGAUGUAUUCAGAGACUCACUGUCUCCAUCACUUUCAGGGUGUAUCAGCCCCAAAGCAACCCCUUAUUCACUAGCCAUCAGCCUACCAUGUGUGGCCAGAAGCUGGCACAGGACCUCAUUGUCAGAGGUGACUGCCAUGGGCUUCUCUGCCUGACAGGUGGGGCCGUAGGAUGCUUCCUGUCCUUGCUUUGGCUGAGGCUGUAGUCUUCUCUCACUCACUCACCCUCAGGGAACAGGCACCUCGGUUAUGUCUUUCUCUGGCCUCGUGUGUGCCUCUUUAACCUCUUGCCCAGAGCAUACCGAAGGAUUCGUUUGUAGAGUUGAAGGAACAGCUUCCAGGGACCUCUGAUUCUAACUGCCUUGCCGUCUCAGAUAUAGACCUCAAAGACUUGAGUCCCAGCAGCCUGCAGUAUGAGUGGGAGGAGACACUGUCCCCAGCCACUGUGGCCACAGCAGCUGUACUGGUGAGGAGGUUGUGUCCACCAGCUUUGAGGUGAGUUUCGGCAGCCCCAUGCUGGACUCUGCCUUGGGCCUGAACACCUUCUCCACACUCUCCUCGCCUUACCUAGCCUUGCCUGCACACCUGAACCUUUGCUCUGUGCUGAGACCGGGAGCUGAGACCUUACUCAUGUUAUCGAAGUCAACUCUCAGGAAAAUUCUUAACUGCAUGCCCGUCUAACAGGCAAGGAAAGGGAAGCUUGCAGAGUUUCGGGGCCCUACUCAAAGCUGCCUAGCUAGGAAGUGGCAGAGCUGGGCAUUUCUCUGAGGCCGUUCGGUCGCACAGCAAGUCUCCUUACCCUGAGCAUUAUUUGUGGUGGGGUUGGGGUGCACUGUACACGGUGGUAUACAGAAGAAGCACGUCUGGUCUCCUCCUGCCAUAUUGACAACCACAUUGACAUCUCUGCAUGCUCAACUGAGCCCAAGCUGAGAACUGCUACACUCCCUUUAUCACCACACGACUCUACUCCAGGAACAGGAGCUGUGUCAGAGGGCCGCCGUCUUCCCCAGGAGACCUCAGAGAUAUUCCUGACGCUGGUGUCUGAGCUCCAAGGCCUUUCUGUGGAUGAGCUGAUGGAAGUCUGGAGAUGGUCUUCUUUGAGAUGCCAAGAUGAUUGCACCCGCUGGUAGACGCUCUGUCCUCCUGCAGCACUCAGAACCGUGUGGGCCUCAGGAAGCAGCUCAUCCUGGCUAGGGAGGUGUAAGCAGACCAGGCUGAGGCAUGGCUGUGGUCGCUGGCUUCAUCCCAAAGCCCACAGACACCAUGGUGCUCACACUGCCGCCUAGGGAUGGUGCUGCUGCCAUGGUGCUAUGUUCAAGGCAGGAUUUGCUGUCACAGAUGUGGUUCUCAGAGGUAGGGAGCAGAGUUUACUAUGUGUGCCAGGCUGGC